UUUAAAAAUUUAUGAAAGUUUUACAUGUAGCUUACUUGUUUUAUUAAAACAUAUACUUUCAACAAUAGUUGAUAAGUCUCAUUUUUUAUAUUCUGGUUAUACAAGAAAGCCAUUUUUAUUAAUAAUGGAUAGAACAGGCUUAAAGCAUGCUCAAUUACUUUGGUAGAAUGUAAGAGCACUGAACACUGUAACAAUCAAAUGAUAAACUCCCUUGUGGUGAAAUGUAUUGUUUUGUAAACAAGAAGAAAGCUAAUAUAAAAUCAGCUAUCAACCCAUAUUGUUUAUUUCUGGGCAAAACAAAAAAAAACAGCAAUUUGUGCCAUUUUAUUUCCCUGAUAGAGAGAAGAAUGAACCAAAGUUAGUUUUAGCAUUGAGAAAUAAUUGUGCUUCCCAGCCUGAUCAGCCUGUUUAAUUAAAAAAAGAUGAUGCAGAAAUUAUUUUAAAUGUACAUGUAUGUGAUACAUACUAGGAAUGACAGAUAUACAUAAGAUAAGGUGUUAUGUUACUCCAUUCAAUUUUGUGUGGUAGAGCAGGAAGGGACUUUCAAUACACACCUAUUUAACAAUCAAAAUAAUUUAUCAAUAGAUCGACUCAAUCCAUGUUAAAAAAAAGAAAUCUUCUGAACGAUUUACGCUUAUUUUUUCAACCAAAAUAUUUUAUCAAUUUGAUCUAAAACUAACAUCUGAAACCAAAUCUUCCACUCCUGCCAUCCCUCAUUCAUUUAAAUGGAAUAGCUCCAGUAGAUUUUUACCUCAAUAUAUACAAUGGUAUGUUCACCACUGUCAUGUUUUUAUUGAUUUUGAUUUUUCCAGC
rnacentral:lncRNA from 1 species